rnacentral:snoRNA from 1 species
AUCCUUUUGUAGUUUAUAAGAGUGAUGAUCAGGUUUUCAUGUGCAAGUGUGAGAUGUGCCUCCUUCAAACCUUGUUAUGAUGUUGGCACAUUACCUGUCUGACG